rnacentral:rRNA from 1 species
AUUGAACGCUGGCGGCAUGCUUUACACAUGCAAGUCGUGGGGCAGCAUUAGGUAGCAAUACUUAGAUGGCGACCGGCGCACGGGUGAGUAACGCGUAUGCAACCUACCCAGUACAGGGGGAUAGCCCGGAGAAAUUCGGAUUAAUACCCCAUAAUGAUAUAGAGAGGCAUCUUUUUAUAUUUAAAGCUUCGGCGGUACUGGAUGGGCAUGCGUAAGAUUAGCUAGUUGGUAGGGUAACGGCCUACCAAGGCUCCGAUCUUUAGGGGUCCUGAGAGGGUGAUCCCCCACACUGGUACUGAGACACGGACCAGACUCCUACGGGAGGCAGCAGUGAGUAAUAUUGGUCAAUGGGCGCAAGCCUGAACCAGCCAUCCCGCGUGAAGGAAGAAGGCGCUAUGCGUUGUAAACUUCUUUUCCGGAGGAAUAAAAUCUUGUACGCGUACAGGACUGAAGGUACUCCGGGAAUAAGCAUCGGCUAACUCCGUGCCAGCCGCCGCAGUAACAC